GGCCAGACUCCUACGGGAGGCAGCAGUGGGGAAUAUUGCACAAUGGGGGAAACCCUGAUGCAGCAACGCCGCGUGAGUGAAGAAGUAUUUCGGUAUGUAAAGCUCUAUCAGCAGGGAAGAAGAAAGACGGUACCUGACUAAGAAGCCCCGGCUAACUACGUGCCAGCAGCCGCGGUAAUACGUAGGGGGCAAGCGUUAUCCGGAUUUACUGGGUGUAAAGGGGGCGCAGACGGCAGCGCAAGCCAGGAGUGAAAGCCCGGGGCCCAACCCCGGGACUGCUCUUGGAACUGCGCGGCUGGAGUGCAGGAGGGGCAGGCGGAAUUCCUGGUGUAGCGGUGAAAUGCGUAGAUAUCAGGAGGAACACCGGUGGCGAAGGCGGCCUGCUGGACUGCGACUGACGUUGAGGCCCGAAAGCGUGGGGAGCAAACAGGAUUAGAUACCCGCGUA
rnacentral:rRNA from 1 species